rnacentral:rRNA from 1 species
GAUGAACGCUGGCGGCGUGCCUAAUACAUGCAAGUCGAGCGAACAGAUAAGGAGCUUGCUCCUUUGACGUUAGCGGCGGACGGGUGAGUAACACGUGGAUAACCUACCUAUAAGACUGGGAUAACUUCGGGAAACCGGAGCUAAUACCGGAUAACAUAUUGAACCGCAUGGUUCAAUAGUGAAAGGCGGCUUUGCUGUCACUUAUAGAUGGAUCCGCGCCGUAUUAGCUAGUUGGUAAGGUAACGGCUUACCAAGGCAACGAUACGUAGCCGACCUGAGAGGGUGAUCGGCCACACUGGAACUGAGACACGGUCCAGACUCCUACGGGAGGCAGCAGUAGGGAAUCUUCCGCAAUGGGCGAAAGCCUGACGGAGCAACGCCGCGUGAGUGAUGAAGGUCUUCGGAUCGUAAAACUCUGUUAUCAGGGAAGAACAAAUGUGUAAGUAACUGUGCACAUCUUGACGGUACCUGAUCAGAAAGCCACGGCUAACUACGUGCCAGCAGCCGCGGUAAUACGUAGGUGGCAAGCGUUAUCCGGAAUUAUUGGGCGUAAAGCGCGCGUAGGCGGUUUUUUAGUCUGAUGUGAAAGCCCACGGCUCAAUUGUGGAGGGUCAUUGGAAACUGGAAAACUUGAGUGCAGAAGAGGAAAGUGGAAUUCCAUGUGUAGCGGUGAAAUGCGCAGAGAUAUGGAGGAACACCAGUGGCGAAGGCGACUUUCUGGUCUGUAACUGACGCUGAUGUGCGAAAGCGUGGGGAUCAAACAGGAUUAGAUACCCUGGUAGUCCACGCCGUAAACGAUGAGUGCUAAGUGUUAGGGGGUUUCCGCCCCUUAGUGCUGCAGCUAACGCAUUAAGCACUCCGCCUGGGGAGUACGACCGCAAGGUUGAAACUCAAAGGAAUUGACGGGGACCCGCACAAGCGGUGGAGCAUGUGGUUUAAUUCGAAGCAACACGAAGAACCUUACCAAAUCUUGACAUCCUUUGACCGCUCUAGAGAUAGAGUCUUCCCCUUCGGGGGACAAAGUGACAGGUGGUGCAUGGUUGUCGUCAGCUCGUGUCGUGAGAUGUUGGGUUAAGUCCCGCAACGAGCGCAACCCUUAAGCUUAGUUGCCAUCAUUAAGUUGGGCACUCUAAGUUGACUGCCGGUGACAAACCGGAGGAAGGUGGGGAUGACGUCAAAUCAUCAUGCCCCUUAUGAUUUGGGCUACACACGUGCUACAAUGGACAAUACAAAGGGCAGCUAAACCGCGAGGUCAAGCAAAUCCCAUAAAGUUGUUCUCAGUUCGGAUUGUAGUCUGCAACUCGACUACAUGAAGCUGGAAUCGCUAGUAAUCGUAGAUCAGCAUGCUACGGUGAAUACGUUCCCGGGUCU